rnacentral:rRNA from 1 species
GACGAACGCUGGCGGCGUGCCUAACACCUGCAAGUCGAACGGAGAUAUGAUUUCGGUUGUAUCUUAGUGGCGAACGGGUGAGUAACGCGUGAGCAACCUGACUCUUAGAGGGGGAUAACACUCGGAAUCGGGUGCUAAUACCGCAUAAGACCACGACAUGUCAUCAUGACUAGGUCAAAGGAGCAAUCCGCCGAGAGAGGGGCUCGCGUCCCAUUAGCUGUAUGGCGGGGUAACGGCCCACCAUGUAAACGACCGGUAGCCGAGCUGCGAGGCUGAUCGGCCACACUGGAACUGAGACACGGUCCAGACUCCUACGGGAGGCAGCAGUGGGGAAUAUUGGGCAAUGGGCGCAAGCCUGACCCAGCAACGCCGCGUGAGGGAAGAAGGCUUUCGGGUUGUAAACCUCUGUCCUUGGUGACGAAAAAAAUGACGGUAGCCAAGGAGGAAGCCCCGGCUAACUACGUGCCAGCAGCCGCUGUAACAC